UUAGUUGUAAAACUACUAACGAAUAAGGGGUGGGCAAGUUCUGGUGUCAGCCGCCGCGGUAAAACCAGCACCUCAAGUGGUCAGGAUGAUUAUUGGGCCUAAAGCAUCCGUAGCCUGUUUUGUAAGUCUUCGGUUAAAUCCAUCAACUCAAGUGAUGGGCCGCCGGAGAUACUGCAAAACUAGGGAAUGGGAGAGGUAGACGGUACUCGGUAGGAAGGGGUAAAAUCCUUUGAUCUAUUGAUGACCACCUGUGGCGAAGGCGGUCUACCAGAACAUGUUCGACGGUGAGGGAUGAAAGCUGGGGGAGCAAACCGGAUUAGAUACCCGGGUAGUCCCAGCUGUAAACGAUGCAGACUCGGUGAUGCGUUGGCUUGUUGCUAGCGCAGUGCCGCAGGGAAGCCGUUAAGUUUGCCGCCUGGGAAGUACGUACGCAAGUAUGAAACUUAAAGGAAUUGGCGGGGGAGCACCACAAGGGGUGAAGCCUGCGGUUCAAUUGGAGUCAACGCCUGAAACCUUACCCGGAGAGACAGCAGAAUGAAGGUCAAGCUGAGACUUUAC
rnacentral:rRNA from 1 species